GAUGAACGCUAGCGGGAGGCCUAACACAUGCAAGCCGAGCGGGAUUUGUUGGUUAGCUUGCUAACUAACAAUGAGAGCGGCGUACGGGUGCGUAGCACGUGUGCAACCUGCCUUUAUCUGGGGGAUAGCCUUUCGAAAGGAAGAUUAAUACCCCAUAACAUAUUGAUUGGCAUCAGUUAAUAUUGAAAGCUCCGGCGGAUAGAGAUGGGCACGCGUAAGAUUAGCUAGUUGGUGAGGUAACGGCUCACCAAGGCUGCGAUCUUUAGGGGGCCUGAGAGGGUGAUCCCCCACACUGGUACUGAGACACGGACCAGACUCCUACGGGAGGCAGCAGUGAGGAAUAUUGGACAAUGGGUGAGAGUCUGAUCCAGCCAUCCCGCGUGAAGGACUAAGGACCUAUGGUUUGUAAACUUCUUUUAUACAGGGAUAAACCUACUCUCGUGAGGGUAGCUGAAGGUACUGUAUGAAUAAGCACCGGCUAACUCCGUG
rnacentral:rRNA from 1 species